rnacentral:rRNA from 1 species
GAUGAACGCUGGCGGCGUGCCUAAUACAUGCAAGUCGAGCGAACGGACGAGAAGCUUGCUUCUCUGAUGUUAGCGGCGGACGGGUGAGUAACACGUGGAUAACCUACCUAUAAGACUGGGAUAACUUCGGGAAACCGGAGCUAAUACCGGAUAAUAUUUUGAACCGCAUGGUUCAAAAGUGAAAGACGGUCUUGCUGUCACUUAUAGAUGGAUCCGCGCCGCAUUAGCUAGUUGGUAAGGUAACGGCUUACCAAGGCAACGAUGCAUAGCCGACCUGAGAGGGUGAUCGGCCACACUGGAACUGAGACACGGUCCAGACUCCUACGGGAGGCAGCAGUAGGGAAUCUUCCGCAAUGGGCGAAAGCCUGACGGAGCAACGCCGCGUGAGUGAUGAAGGUCUUCGGAUCGUAAAACUCUGUUAUUAGGGAAGAACAAAUGUGUAAGUAACUGUGCACAUCUUGACGGUACCUAAUCAGAAAGCCACGGCUAACUACGUG